GGAGGGAGGCAGGGGAGGGAGGCAGGCUGGCCUUUUCUCCUAACGCUACUCAAGGUUGAGAGUCACUUCCACUCCGUGUGAGCCCCUGGAUGUGGGGGUGGGGCGUGAGGGUCCCCUCCUGAGGCCUUAGGCCCCUUGCAGAGGGCUUAGGCCCUGCCCAGGGCCUUCCUGGUGGCGUUGUCCUUGAUGACGCUGCCAGGCCCACCGCUGGCCGCCAAGGCCCCAGAGGGAGCCGGCAGCCUGUGCCUGUCUCCCCCCUUCUCUCCUCUGGAUGGAAAACGGGAGGUCGUAGAUGUGGCAGGUUCAUUGACUAGAAAAUACAGUCCAAACCCGCAGAUGAAACUCAGCCGACUGGCACAAUAACAUUUUUUAUUGCUUUGCUCUUCGUGGGUGAGACGGAGGUCCUAGUGUCUGUGGGACGUGACUCCCAGGGUCCCUCCACCGUGGCAUUGCUGGUGGCCCUGCUGGCCUUGGCCUGACCCAGUGUGGUUCUGAAAAGUCCCCCUGGGGUGGGUCAGCUCUGCAGGGUCCAACUAAGCUGGAGGGCAGGAUGGGAAACAGAGGCCCAGAGAGCUUCUGUCCCUUAUCAGAGGUCAUAGUGGGGCUUCUGGGGCUGAGGUUUUAUGGGGUGGGUACUGGGGAUGGAACUCGGGGGCACUCGGCCCCGGAGCCGCACCCCGAGCCCUGUUUUGUAUUUUAUUGAGAGUCAGGGUCUCACUGGGUUGGUUAGCGCCUCUCCGUUGCUGAGGCUGGCUUCAACUGGUGAUCCUCCUGCCUCAGCCUCUGGAGCCACAGGGAUGGGGUGUGAGUUUUUAAGGAUUCUGCAAAAAAUAUCUGAGACCUUAAAAUAUUUAUUGUCCACCAAAUGGGAAAAGAAAACUGCAAAGUUUAGAUUAAUAAAUGUCGACUGUCUACAAAAUGGACACGAGGCCAGCUGCACUGAUCACUGUGUUUGGUGUAUACUUGUGUCACCGCGUGUGACAGCAACUCCUCAGCUUCACACGGUCGGUGUUCCCGAGCAGGCAGAGCCCAGGCGAGGGUGUGGCCAGCUACCCGUUAACCAGCACCUGGAGCCGGACAAUUCCAAGAGCACGAUGUAGAAGUGUUCUAUUUAAUGGGGCCGUUGGCCCGUCUGUGCUGAACCAGGAACCCUGACCCUCCUGCGCCACGGGCCUGGCCGGUCCACCUGCCUGGGCGCUGGUGAGGUUCACCCAGGGCCAGCCCAGCACCUUCACCACGGCGAGGAGGAGGCGGGCGAGAGCCUGGAGGUCCCUGCACAGCCUCCUGCCCCUGCCUUCGCAGCCAGGGCUUCACAGCCGGCUGCCACCUGCCACCAAGGAAAGUCUCCUGGAGUCAGACGCGGACUGCAAGCCAGUGACCUGGGCCUGUCGGAUCAAAGCCACAGGCUUGACCGGGGGACAGCAAGGUCCUGGGAGAAGGCUACUGGGCUGCUACAUUUGGCCUGGCCCUGGCUGGACAGAAGUGUCUUGAAACCACCCCAUAAAAGAAUGCCCAUGACUGGACCCGUGGCCUCUCCCCAGUUCAGCAUGAGGUCUUUGGUUCUGCCGUGGGACGCUGUGUGACCUUGGGUGAGGCACUUUUCCUCUCUGAGCCUCAGUUCUUGACAACUGAAAGGAAUGGAUCAUCCCCUUGAAUUGUGGGAGCAAGAAGAAGUCUGUAAGCGAGAUCUCCCAUUGUAUGGCUGAAAAGAAUGAGGUGCCGAGAGAAGGCAUCUGCCCCGGGAGAGGGGACAAGAGGGAGGCCGAGCCCCGCUCGAUUCCCACCGUGCAACCCCACUUCCCAUUUCCGUUUCUCCUCCCCUCACCUCUCUCCAGGGCAGUACCCAAAUCCCCCUCAGGAGGGGUCUCUGCUGCCCCUCCCCCAGCCCUGAGUGACUGCUGGGC
rnacentral:lncRNA from 1 species